AAGUCGUAACAAGGUCUCCGUUGGUGAACCAGCGGAGGGAUCAUUACUGAGUACUACACUCUCUACCCUUUGUGAACUAUUAUACCUGUUGCUUCGGCGGCGCCCGCAAGGGUGCCCGCCGGUCUCAUCAGAAUCUCUGUUUUCGAACCCGACGAUACUUCUGAGUGUUCUUAGCGAACUGUCAAAACUUUAACAACGGAUCUCUUGGCUCCAGCAUCGAUGAAGAACGCAGCGAAACGCGAUAUGUAAUGUGAAUUGCAGAAUUCAGUGAAUCAUCGAAUCUUUGAACGCACAUGGCGCCUUCCAGUAUCCUGGGAGGCAUGCCUGUCCGAGCGUCGUUUCAACCCUCGAGCCCCUGUGGCCCGGCGUUGGGGAUCUGCCACGGCAGGCCCCUAAAACCAGUGGCGGACCCGAAGGGCCCUCUCCUUUGCGCAGUAGCAUUCGCCUCGCAUCGGGAGUCCUCGGCGUCCUGCCUCUAAACCCCCCACAAGCCCGCUUCGGCGGCACCAAGGUUGACCUCGGAUCAGGUAGGAAUACCCGCUGAACUUAA
rnacentral:rRNA from 1 species